UGCUGUUUGUAGUCAGAAGAACAACAAUGUGCGAGCAGAGCGAAUUUGCAAGAAAUUUGUUGUAUAUUUUAUGGUUUUAAAUUUUAGUUUUUUUUGUUUGGACUAUAAUGGAAUUAAUUUUAACUCAACCAAGUAAAAUUUAGCCGAAUGGAGUUGCCAAUCGGCUAGGAAACAAACGCUAUAAACGAAACAACUUGGCGAUGUGCAAAUCCGCCAAAUUAUUUGUACGAGCGUCAGACCCUUUGAAGAUUUUAUCAAAACAAGUGAGUAAAUUCUUUAUUUUAACUUAGUAUUACAAACCUAAUAAUUAUUAAACAAAGUAAUUUUAUUAAACAAGUGUCGAUCACUUUGUUUCCCUUCAUUUACGAUCUCUUUGACGUAUUUCUUUCCAAAGCUGAACAGCCGCAACGUAAAAUAUUUGUCCGCGACACGUUUCAUUAAAUUUGUUCUGUGGUCGUCAACUAGAAUUUCGUUGUCAUCAUCUUCAUGGUCUGUGAACAGCUCAGAUGUUGAGUCCAAUGUGAAAUGUUGGAAGACGUUCACGAUCAUUUUUUUCUUUAGGUUUCCCUCGUUGCUUAUUUGUUUGCCGUCUUUACCCGUAACAGUAGCUUUGAAAACGUGCUCGCAGUAUUCGACCGUUCGAAACACAGAUGUUGAUGGGAUCUGCAAACCACCCCUAUUGACAAAUGUGGUAAAUGACGAUGCCUUUCCUGCUUCAUGAUAUAUGGUUGAAGUAUAGUCAUGUCCGUUUGCAGGCAAUUGUUUUGGCAGAGGAAGAAGGCUCUUUUUGCAUGCUGGACAAACUAGGGUUUUCACAAGUUUGGAAACAAUGUACCCUGCGAUGUAAAACAGAACAUUCGAGGUAAAUUCACUAUGCCCUUCUUCGUUUAAAUGUUCACACAUAGAAAAUAUGUCACUUGAGUCAUUGUUGGAGGCAGAGGCUUCCACGAUAUUUUCGUUGGUGGUUGACUUUUUGUGCUUUCUUGUAUGGAAUAUGGGGAUAAUGUUAUUACAUCCUGUAAAAUCCACACAGUUGGCAUAUUUCGAUGCUGUAAUGGCAUUUCGCAUCAACAUCUUUCGAAUUGCAUACUUGAACUGUAAAACGUUAGGGUUGUUAUUCCAGCCUCCUCUUGAGCGUAUGCAUGAAAAAAGAAGUUCGAUGUGGUCCUGUGAGAAUUUGUAAGUUAAUAAGUACUUGAAAGGAUUGGUGGGUAAACUAAACAUUUGUGUAGCCAUGGAAAUUGUAGAUUUGAUACAUGCCACAAACCCAAUUACAAAUGUUUUACGUUGCGAGGUGGAAAGUAGUUGACCUGUAGGUGCACUUGUUUUCAACGACAGUAGAUAGUCUGCUGUUGACAUUAAGAUUUCUUCCCAUGUGUCCUUGGUUUUCGGAUGAAGGGGUGUCUUGAAACCUUUAGCGAUUGGGUUACGAGAAUUCAGCAUGUCAAAUAACCGGUCGAUUGUGCGGAUAAAUAUAACUGUACCAUGACUAUCGUGAAAACUGGACAACUUCAUUGAUUUGUCCAGGAAUUCUACAGCAUUAGCCACUGAAGAACUUAAUGUUUGUGCUGCUAGUCUAACAUUCAUUUUGUGUUUUUGAAAUUUCAGGUGAUUUGGGGAAAGUUUGUUACCCAGAUUCAGUCCUUCCACUUCUUGUAACUUUUGAAGUUCCUCAAUGUGGUGCCACCUUAUCACAUUUCCCUCACCAUCAACAAUGGUCCCGAGGUGUGCCAAAGCAUUACGAGCAAGUUUAAGCAUGUGGCAGGGGUCAAGAAUGAUAAAAACAUCUUCACCAGUAGUUGGAUGUAUAAUUGAAGUGGUCAUCUCAUCGUAACUGCCAUUAAAACUACAACCGAGAAUUUCAAAUGUUCUAAGGUUGACUGCUGUGCCAUCCGCUGUCACCGACCAUACCUUUAGUCCAGCCUUUGCUGCCAUUUCCAAUGAUUUCGAUACUAAUUUUGCCUGGUCUUUGGCGCUGAUUUUAUCUCCUAAAAAGUAUCCGAUGGGACAUUUCCAAUGACUUCUUGUUCCGACCAACAGAAAAACUAAUGCCUCAGAAGCCAGUGUUGCUGACUUAUCAUUAUGAAUUUCAUCACCAAGAUCAACAAAUCCUGAGUACCGAUCUUUUUCAGCAUCCCAGAGUGUCUGCUUACGAAUGGACAUUGCAUCGAUUACCAAACAGCAGUCCUUGUUAAUUGGUGAACCAGAGAUUAAAUCAGACAGGGAUGUGAAUGCUUCUUCUAUGAAGCCUGGGUCACAUUUAAACGAAGUUGACCAUUUUCGUAUCAAAGAUUGGUUUGGCAAUGGGAUAAUGGAUCUAACAUAUUUGUAUGCUUUCGGUGAGUAAAAGUAUAAAGUCACAGCAAACUCUUUUAUUUCAUCCGAAUAUCUCCUUCCUGAUGGUGAUGCCUUUAAGUUUUUGAAAUUAUAUAGAAAUUGAAGAUGUUUAUUUUCAAAUGUUGAUUGCAGACUUUCUGCUUCUUUUGAAGUUAUCAGUGAUCUUUCUUCCAACACUUUGAUGGCUUCGUUCAUAGUUUUGACUUUCUGUUUUGACCUUCGUAAUUGCUGUUGUAAGUUGCGAAUUUUUUGUCUAAGUUUUGUUUGUAACUCAUCUCUUUUUUCUUCUGUAGAUGCAGUUUUGGCGAUUUUUUCUGGAGGCGAGAGGUUUUCCAAAUCAGUUGGGGGGAUUGGUCUCUUGUUCGACAGGUCCAGCCUGCAUCUUGUUUUGUUGGGUAUCGUAUACAACAUGGUUGCCGUGUCAUGGGACUUUGAUGGUAUGACAUACUUUUUUAGUCGACAUGACCCAUUCACUGAAGGAGGGGUGAUGUAAUCUGUUACUUGGAAGUGGUCGCUACAAAGACGGCUAGUACUGGUUGCCCUCCAUGGUUCUUUAAGUAUAUUGGGCCUAUUGGCUUCUUGAACAAAAUGCUCCCACUGCUCUAAAGCAUGCUUAUCUUUCAUUGGAAAUCUAUAAUAGUUUACAACAUACAUAUAUUGUGAGCAGCCAAUUUGGCUUUAUUGGUACUGAAAAGAUGACUCUUGUCUUACAUGGUUUGUGCUGUGGUUUUCAACAUGUAAGGGUUACACUUAAGCCCCGCACAGACAAGUAAUUUUUCCUUAACACAUUAGAUUUGCUUGUGUGUAUGUGAAAAAAAUGACAAGUUUUCCUUGACAAGGAGCCUGGUUCAAAAUGUGGUCAUGCCAAAUUUUGAACCAGGAAAUCUUGUCAAGAAAAAAUUGCUUGUCUGUGCGGGCAAAGAUGCAACAAUAUAAGACCCUGAUGCUUGUGAUGUUACUCUGAGUGUAUAUCCACACUGGUCAAGCUUGAAAAAUAUGCCUGGCCAUGGUGGGAAAGAACCUACGACCUUUGGAAUACUAGCCCAGGCAUAUUUUUUCAAGCUUGGCCAGUGUGGAUAUACACUCAGAUUAACAUCACAAGCAUCAUAUUCACCUGAGUACAUUACACCGCACACAAAAAAAUUUAAUAUAGACCCUGUUGUCAUUGUAAAAGCAAUGAUAGCCAAAAAUGGUGAUAAAGUAGUAUGUAGAAAU